rnacentral:rRNA from 1 species
GGUAUGCUAUACACAUGCAAGUCGAACGGCAGCACGGGUGCUUGCACCUGGUGGCGAGUGGCGAACGGGUGAGUAAUAUAUCGGAACGUACCCAGUAAUGGGGGAUAACUAGCCGAAAGGUUAGCUAAUACCGCAUACGCCCUGAGGGGGAAAGCGGGGGACCGUAAGGCCUCGCGUUAUUGGAGCGGCCGAUAUCUGAUUAGCUAGUUGGUGGGGUAAUGGCCUACCAAGGCGACGAUCAGUAGCUGGUCUGAGAGGGUGACCGGCCACACUGGGACUGAGACACGGCCCAGACUCCUACGGGAGGCAGCAGUGGGGAAUAUUGCACAAUGGGCGCAAGCCUGAUGCAGCAACGCCGCGUGAGGGACGACGGCCUUCGGGUUGUAAACCUCUUUUAGCAGGGAAGAAGCGAAAGUGACGGUACCUGCAGAAAAAGCACCGGUAAUACUGGC